AAAAGAGUACAGUAUUUUGAACAUUAAUAAUGAUUAAUACACCUCAAUUAGCUUUGUUUUUUGUUUUUUUUUUGUCAAACAAGAUUUGUAUUCAUUCCAUCAGAUCCCAUAAGGGCAAGUUUACAAAGUUCUCAAAGAUGAAACAGGUUACAAAGAUCUUAAAAAAACAUAAGUUAGCAACAAAGAGAGAUAACUUGAGAAGAUAGACCAAUGAGAGUCGGAGACAGAGGCAAACAAGCCACAUACCACACACGACUUCAAAGUGUGUCAAAGACACUUCCACGAACACUUCGGGGAAAUAUGAAAUAGUCACUAUCAAACCAAGAUAAAGUGACGUUGAGAAGAAGUCCUUUGCCUCAUGGUUCGGCGACGCGAAACGCAUAGAAGUUCCGAUGAACGCGAAAUAUACAAUAAUGUUCUCUAAUUUUUAUAAUGCCAUAUUAGAUGAUCAUAUUAACUUCCGAUUUAAUUUCGUAAUAUUUAGAUAAAUAGAUAUUAUUAUUUUUAAAGUAUAU
rnacentral:sRNA from 1 species